rnacentral:rRNA from 1 species
AGACCCGAAACCCGGUGAUCUAGCCAUGGGCAGGUUGAAGGUUGGGUAACACUAACUGGAGGACCGAACCGACUAAUGUUGAAAAAUUAGCGGAUGACCUGUGGCUGGGGGUGAAAGGCCAAUCAAACCGGGAGAUAGCUGGUUCUCCCCGAAAGCUAUUUAGGUAGCGCCUCGUGAAUUCAUCUCCGGGGGUAGAGCACUGUUUCGGCUAGGGGGCCAUCCCGGCUUACCAACCCGAUGCAAACUGCGAAUACCGGAGAAUGUUAUCACGGGAGACACACGGCGGGUGCUAACGUCCGUCGUGAAGAGGGAAACAACCCAGACCGCCAGCUAAGGUCCCAAAGUCAUGGUUAAGUGGGAAACGAUGUGGGAAGGCCCAGACAGCCAGGAUGUUGGCUUAGAAGCAGCCAUCAUUUAAAGAAAGCGUAAUAGCUCACUGGUCGAGUCGGCCUGCGCGGAAGAUGUAACGGGGCUAAACCAUGCACCGAAGCUGCGGCAGCGACGCUGAUGCGUUGUUGGGUAGGGGAGCGUUCUGUAAGCCUGUGAAGGUGGCCUGUGAGGGUUGCUGGAGGUAUCAGAAGUGCGAAUGCUGACAUAAGUAACGAUAAAGCGGGUGAAAAGCCCGCUCGCCGGAAGACCAAGGGUUCCUGUCCAACGUUAAUCGGGGCAGGGUGAGUCGACCCCUAAGGCGAGGCCGAAAGGCGUAGUCGAUGGGAAACGGGUUAAUAUUCCCGUACUUGGUGUUACUGCGAAGGGGGGACGGAGAAGGCUAUGUUGGCCGGGCGACGGUUGUCCCGGUUUAAGCGUGUAGGUGUGUGUUCCAGGUAAAUCCGGUUCACUUUAACACUGAGGCGUGACGACGAGGCACUACGGUGCUGAAGCAACAAAUGCCCUGCUUCCAGGAAAAGCCUCUAAGCAUCAGGUAACAUCAAAUCGUACCCCAAACCGACACAGGUGGUCAGGUAGAGAAUACCAAGGCGCUUGAGAGAACUCGGGUGAAGGAACUAGGCAAAAUGGUGCCGUAACUUCGGGAGAAGGCACGCUGACACGUAGGUGAAGUGAUUUACUCAUGGAGCUGAAGUCAGUCGAAGAUACCAGCUGGCUGCAACUGUUUAUUAAAAACACAGCACUGUGCAAACACGAAAGUGGACGUAUACGGUGUGACGCCUGCCCGGUGCCGGAAGGUUAAUUGAUGGGGUCAGCGCAAGCGAAGCUCCUGAUCGAAGCCCCGGUAAACGGCGGCCGUAACUAUAACGGUCCUAAGGUAGCGAAAUUCCUUGUCGGGUAAGUUCCGACCUGCACGAAUGGCGUAAUGAUGGCCAGGCUGUCUCCACCCGAGACUCAGUGAAAUUGAACUCGCUGUGAAGAUGCAGUGUACCCGCGGCAAGACGGAAAGACCCCGUGAACCUUUACUAUAGCUUGACACUGAACAUUGAGCCUUGAUGUGUAGGAUAGGUGGGAGGCUUUGAAGUGUGG